rnacentral:rRNA from 1 species
UACGUAGGGUGCAAGCGUUGUCCGGAGUUACUGGGCGUAAAGGGCGUGCAGGCGGUUUCUUAAGUCAGGCGUGAAACCAUUCGGCUAAACCGGGUGUAGUCGUCUGAGACUGGGAGACUAGAGUGUGGUAGAGGCGUGUAGAAUUCCGGGUGUAGUGGUGAAAUGCGUAGAUAUCCGGAGGAAUACCAGUGGCGAAGGCGGCACGCUGGGCCAUAACUGACGCUAAGACGCGAAAGCAUGGGUAGCGAACGGG